rnacentral:rRNA from 1 species
UACGAAGGGGGCUAGCGUUGCUCGGAAUCACUGGGCGUAAAGCGCACGUAGGCGGAUUCUUAAGUCAGGGGUGAAAUCCUGGAGCUCAACUCCAGAACUGCCCUUGAUACUGGGGAUCUUGAGUCCGGAAGAGGUGAGUGGAACUCCGAGUGUAGAGGUGAAAUUCGUAGAUAUUCGGAAGAACACCAGUGGCGAAGGCGGCUCACUGGUCCGGUACUGACGCUGAGGUGCGAAAGCGUGGGGAGCAAACAGG